rnacentral:rRNA from 1 species
CGACUUACCAACCCGAUGCAAACUGCGAAUACCGGAGAAUGUUAUCACGGGAGACACACGGCGGGUGCUAACGUCCGUCGUGAAGAGGGAAACAACCCAGACCGCCAGCUAAGGUCCCAAAGUCAUGGUUAAGUGGGAAACGAUGUGGGAAGGCCCAGACAGCCAGGAUGUUGGCUUAGAAGCAGCCAUCAUUUAAAGAAAGCGUAAUAGCUCACUGGUCGAGUCGGCCUGCGCGGAAGAUGUAACGGGGCUAAACCAUGCACCGAAGCUGCGGCAGCGACGCUGAUGCGUUGUUGGGUAGGGGAGCGUUCUGUAAGCCUGCGAAGGUGUGCUGUGAGGCAUGCUGGAGGUAUCAGAAGUGCGAAUGCUGACAUAAGUAACGAUAAAGCGGGUGAAAAGCCCGCUCGCCGGAAGACCAAGGGUUCCUGUCCAACGUUAAUCGGGGCAGGGUGAGUCGACCCCUAAGGCGAGGCCGAAAGGCGUAGUCGAUGGGAAACAGGUUAAUAUUCCUGUACUUGGUGUUACUGCGAAGGGGGGACGGAGAAGGCUAUGUUGGCCGGGCGACGGUUGUCCCGGUUUAAGCGUGUAGGCUGGUUUUCCAGGCAAAUCCGGAAAAUCAAGGCUGAGGCGUGAUGACGAGGCACUACGGUGCUGAAGCAACAAAUGCCCUGCUUCCAGGAAAAGCCUCUAAGCAUCAGGUAACAUCAAAUCGUACCCCAAACCGACACAGGUGGUCAGGUAGAGAAUACCAAGGCGCUUGAGAGAACUCGGGUGAAGGAACUAGGCAAAAUGGUGCCGUAACUUCGGGAGAAGGCACGCUGAUAUGUAGGUGAAGCGACUUGCUCGUGGAGCUGAAAUCAGUCGAAGAUACCAGCUGGCUGCAACUGUUUAUUAAAAACACAGCACUGUGCAAACACGAAAGUGGACGUAUACGGUGUGACGCCUGCCCGGUGCCGGAAGGUUAAUUGAUGGGGU